CCACACAGCAGCUGAGGGAAGCUGUCCCAGCCAAGGGCUGCAGAGCCACUCCUGGACACUGGGAAUUCCUGCAGGUGCCUCCAGCCACAGAGAAAUGGAUCAUACACCCUGUACAUAUUACCCAGUCACAGAAAGAGUCACUGCUAUAAUUAUUAGCUUUUCCCUGCGUGAAAACACAGUAUGGGACACUGUUUGAGGCACUGGAACUGUCAGUGCCUUUUUGAGUGACACAAAUGGAGUAAUCUCAGUAGAGGUUUCCAUAUGUGCUUUGUUUGUGGUGGGAGGCAGGACCAUGAAUGAGUAAAAACUCAGCAGAUGAGGGGUCCUAUUAGUGGUUGGUUAAACCCUCUGGAGCCCAGCUGGCAAAGAGAAGGACAUUUCUUCAUGUAGGUGAUUUUCCAAACCAAGCUGCAACAAGCAGACAGGUGCUGGGGUGGUGAUGGAAACCCAGUCUCAGAACCUGAGAUGGUCUCAGUCACUGGGGGAGGUGUUCACUAAUUGCUAGAAAAGGUGCAUUGUAACUAAUUAAACAUUAAUCACCCUCUGUUCAGUGCUAAGCAGGGCUGUAUCAGAACAACUCCCUUGAAAUGAAAGAGUUGUCCUAUGACCAAUGUACAGAAGUGUUGCCUGUCUUUGCCUUUCCCUGACUCUUCCCCAUUCUAUUCUGCAGUUCCUAGGGCAUGCCUGGCUGAAACUCAUCAAGAAUUACAAUUUUAUCAGGCUGAGAUAAAGCUCAGUGGAAAUGCAGCCCUCAGUGAGCGUGGCAGGGAGCUCCAGGACAGGACACCUGGGCACCGGACCAUGAAAGCCUGAGAGGGAACAGCCAGCAAAUUACUGCCUCUGCAGGAAGUCUGAAAUGUUUCCUUCUAUUUCUUUCACAUAUUAAUGCUGCAUUGACAGCUGCUCAAGCUUAAAACAUCUUUAACUGAAAGGUUAAAUGAGAGACAUGGGAAGAUCCCAAAGAAAAGGUUCAUCUCUCUUUAUAGUCAUGUCAUAUGGGUUUGUGUUACCCAGUGGCAAGUCUUUCUAGAUUCAAUUUAUUGACAGUGAAUACUUGAAGCUUCUUGUAUCCCUUACUUCCUUUUAUUUGUGCAAGGCUAUUCAAUACAACAUCUGCAUCCAUGCUUCCUAAUAGCUUCAUCUGUGGAUCUCUCUAAGUGAGGUUUUUUUUGCAUUGUAAGAUGUACACAAAAGGUUUGUUGUUGAUUACACAUAUAAUUUCUUACAAGUCAACACUGCUGUUGUAAAGAGGUUCUAUAGCAAAACAUAUUUUGAACUGUUUUUUUCAGGCACCAACUUUCCUUUCAGUUUAAGACAUGGUUUUAAUUAUAAAUAAAAUUAAAUUAAAUUUUGAUUAUAAUGUAUAAAA